rnacentral:rRNA from 1 species
CCAAUAAGCGAAGGAAAAGAAACCAACAGGGAUUGCCUCAGUAACGGCGAGUGAAGCGGCAAAAGCUCAAAUUUGAAAUCUGGCCCUUUCAGGGUCCGAGUUGUAAUUUGUAGAGGAUGCUUCGGGAGCGGCGGCGGUCUAAGUCCCCUGGAACGGGGCGUCAUAGAGGGUGAGAAUCCCGUCUUGGAUCGCAUUGCCGUGACCAUGUGAAGCUCCUUCGACGAGUCGAGUUGUUUGGGAAUGCAGCUCUAAAUGGGUGGUAAAUUUCAUCUAAAGCUAAAUACUGGCUGGAGACCGAUAGCGCACAAGUAGAGUGAUCGAAAGGUUAAAAGCACCUUGAAAAGGGAGUUAAAUAGCACGUGAAAUUGUUGAAAGGGAAGCGCUUGCAACCAGACUCUGCCUCGGAGGCUCAGUGGGCACGUGUGUCCAUGCACUCCUCCGGUGGUGGGGCCAGCAUCAGUUCUGACGGUCGGUCAAAGGCCCCUGGAAUGUAUCGUCCUCCGGGACGUCUUAUAGCCAGGGGUGCAAUGCGGCCAGUCGGGACUGAGGAACGCGCUUCGGCUCGGAUGCUGGCGUAAUGGUUGUAAACCAACCGUCUUGAAACAC